rnacentral:lncRNA from 1 species
UGACCUCAGGUGAUCCACCCGCCUCAGCCCCCCAAAGUGCUGGGAUGAUAGGUGUGAGCCCCUGCGCUUUGCCAGGGCUGGUUUUUGGAUGUGAUUCUCAGGGCCGUCUUUCUUUACCCUUCUGCUCUGCUGAGGCCCACAGCAGCCUAGUCUCCUUGGGUGUGGGGGAAGGGUUUAAAUCUAUUCAUAUAUCGCAGAAGGUGAAGCCUUUUGGUGUUCAGCUUAACAUGGGAAACAUUUCCUAUAAAACGCCCCAUCUUAGGUCGACCCUGCCGUUGUCCCUCACAGAACUGGACCAAAGUCUGAAUGGACGCAAUUGACACAUAUCUCAGGGUGUUAGUGGUUUUGGUCCUCUGACAUUCUAUUUACAUGUCUGGUGUUAGGUAGGAUUUCUUCUAAAAAUUGGCCUGGAGCUCCUUCCCACCCCCCACCCUGUUAAAUUGUUUCUCAAGAUCUGAGUGACAGUAGAGAAAUACCAUAUUCCUGAAUAGGAAGACUCAAAAUCAUAAAUGAAUAUUCUCUGUAAACUAAAUUACAUAAAUUACAUAGUCAUCCUAAAUUGAUACAUAAAUAUAAUGCAAUUCCAAAUAAUUUUUGUAGCUUUAUGUGCUGAUAUCUGAUAGAGCAAGUCUCUGCUUGUUAUUAGUUUUCCCCCCAAAAGCCUUGACUAUCUUCAAGGAUUUGUUAUUCUAGAUCAUGUGUCAACAAACUAUGGGCCCAUGAUUCAAAUCCAGAUGGCUAUCUGCUUUUGUAAAUAAAGUUUUAUUGAAGCACAGCCACACCCAUUUGUUUAUAUAUUGUCCAUUGGCUGCUUUUGAGCUAGAUUUGAGUAGUUGCAACAGAAUCCAGAUGACCUAGAAACCUCUAAUGUUUUCUGUCUGGCCCAUUAUAGAAAAAGCUCACCCAUCCUAUUCUUGGUGGUGGUUAAGGAAGCUGACUGUAUUCAAAUUCUACCUCCUGCCACUUACCAGCCAUGUGACCUUGGGGAAGGUGUGUGUGUGAGUGUGUGUGUGUGUAUGUGUGUGUGUGUGUUUCCUGGUAUUUACUAAGCUCUAUUGAUGGUGUCUUUUCAGGUAGGCUUUGUAGUUUUCUUUCUAUUUUUUGCACGUUAAAAAAAAAUUAAUCUAUGAUGCUUUAUGGUUUUUUCUUUUUCUUUUUUUUUUGUCAUUGUAAAUGACACUUUUUCCAUCUCUCCACAUCCUAGCUAUGGUGUUCAGCCUUUUUUGAGAAUUGAAGUGAUUGGCUUUGUCUACAUUGUUACAUAAUUGCAACUGAUCAUACAUGUGGGAUGUCUUGUUACUAUCAUAUGACAUGCAGACAAUUUAGCAACAUGACACUCACUGAUGUCAUAGUAAGAAAUUGUAAUGGGAACCCAGGUAUAGACAAAAGAUUAGACAAAGGAUUCUAAAAAAAGGCAUCUUUCAUAACUACACCAUUUAUUCUGGGUGUGCCAGUCAGGAUAGGCAAGGUUAGGCUGCAAUAACGUACAGUGCCAAAACUUCAGUAGCUUAAAACAACGAAGGCUUAUGAGUCACUUUCAAGUCUAAAGCAGGUUUCUGGGUUGGGGAGGGGUAUUGGGGAUCUGCUCCUUGUGGUUAAUGGAGCCAGGCUGAUGGAGCCUCCAUAGCAACACUUGCUUCCUUCUAGAAGAAGGAAGAGGAUGUGGGGAGUCAUGCGCGAGCUUCCACCAGGAAAUGAUAAACAUCACUUCCGCUACUGUUUCAUGGUUCAAAGAGAAGGCAAUAUGAAGAUAGAGACAAUGGAGAUUUUAAAACGUUGAUUGGUGGAGACUGGAAAGUUGUGGUCAGAAGCCAAGGAAUGCUGACAGCCACCAUAAACUGGAAGAGGGUCUUGCUCUAUUGCACAGGAGUGCAGUGGUACAAUCAUGGCUGUCUGCGGCCUCAAUCUCCCUGGCUUAAGCAAUCCUCCUGCCUCAGCCUCCCAAAGUAGCUGGGACUACAGGAAAAGUGUCAGGCCCAUUGAAGUUACCACGUGCCAUGGCUGUGAGUGCCUUCACUACUUGGAGUAGGCUCAUCAGUAGACAACCCUC